UGAAGAUUUCAUGAGUUAUCUGCUUUCCAGAUCUGAAUGGAAUUCUUCUGCAUCAGAACAGGUUGCCUGUCACUGUGCUAACUUGAAAACUUGAAGAGGUGACCAUUUGCUGUGAGAAAAGUCUACACUGUUUCUUAGAAGUCGCUGUGUUAUGGAGCUGUGCAGGAUUUUGAAGGUUUUUGGUUUUUUGGAGGAGAGGUUGAUUUCUGGCUGUUGAUAAACCUUCCGUAACUGAAAAGUACAGGGAACUGGUAUGGUAAAGUCUUAAGUUCCUAGGUCUACAGUCUGCUGUGUGACUGGAUUUUUCUUUGAGUUUAUUUCAGACCCCAGAAAUAAUUGGACCUUUAGGAACCUCAGGCUGAACUUGGUGAGUAUCUCAAGAUAGUGUAGAAAUAAAUGGAGCAGUUUCAGUAAGAUGCACAGUUAUCUUCUCAAAGUCUUUCCUUUUGAUGGACAUGUGCUUGUUAAACUACUGACUUGACUUAGUUUUAAGGACUUUGGUUUCUCAUUGCUCUUCCCUCAAGAUAGCAAAUAAGGUUAAUCACAAGCAACUAAGUAUUCAUGGAUGUUAUUACUUAACAGGAGGCCUUUGCCAGCAUUCCUUUGGGGGUAAGAAUUUGUACAAUAAUGACUGCUUUAUUGAUUUGAAUGUAAAAAUAAAUAAAUAAAGUUAUAAUUGUUUCUCCACCUUA